UAGCUAGGUCUUAGUUACCAAAAUAGGAGC
rnacentral:piRNA from 1 species